rnacentral:rRNA from 1 species
ACGAACGCUGGCGGCGUGCUUAACACAUGCAAGUCGAACGGAAAGGCCCUGCUUGCAGGGUACUCGAGUGGCGAACGGGUGAGUAACACGUGGGUGAUCUGCCCUGCACUUCGGGAUAAGCCUGGGAAACUGGGUCUAAUACCGGAUAGGACCAUCGUUUAGUGUCGGUGGUGGAAAGUUUUUCGGUGCAGGAUGAGCUCGCGGCCUAUCAGCUUGUUGGUGGGGUAAUGGCCUACCAAGGCGUCGACGGGUAGCCGGCCUGAGAGGGUGGACGGCCACAUUGGGACUGAGACACGGCCCAGACUCCUACGGGAGGCAGCAGUGGGGAAUAUUGCACAAUGGGCGCAAGCCUGAUGCAGCGACGCCGCGUGGGGGAUGAAGGCCUUCGGGUUGUAAACUCCUUUCAACCAUGACGAAGCAUUAUGUGACGGUAGUGGUAGAAGAAGCACCGGCUAACUACGUGCCAGCAGCCGCGGUAAUACGUAGGGUGCGAGCGUUGUCCGGAAUUACUGGGCGUAAAGAGCUCGUAGGUGGUUUGUCGCGUCGUCUGUGAAAUUCCGGGGCUUAACUCCGGGCGUGCAGGCGAUACGGGCAUAACUUGAGUGCUGUAGGGGAGACUGGAAUUCCUGGUGUAGCGGUGAAAUGCGCAGAUAUCAGGAGGAACACCGAUGGCGAAGGCAG